GAUUUAGACACUCUACGAAAUCGUUGGGCCCUACUGGACAAGCCUUUGGCCAGAAUCCACUUUCAGGGGGUGGAGGAUAGCAUAGGGUAUCACCCAAUUGCCACUCCUUUGAUCCCGCGACACUACUGGAAGCCUACAGUUCGCGGUUGGCCCUACUAAUCGGCAUCGCACCCCGCCGGACCUCCCCCCAUCAACGGCUGUCACAGUCUGGGGCGGGAGUCCGUGGGCGUCUGGAUGUCC
rfam:Brucella melitensis biovar Abortus 2308 chromosome II, complete sequence, strain 2308